CGUGGAGAGGCAGACAGUGCCCAAGCAGGUGUCAUUCCAGUCAACUUUGCAUCUCUGAUGUUUCAUAGUGUCUGAACACUGAGUGUUGAGAUGCACCUCCACCCCUGGAACUGCAUCAAGGCCCAGAGAAGGCAGCUGAAUUGAGAAGAGCCAGGAAACAUGGAGCCAGCUACUUAGAAGAGGCAGCAGAAUUGUGAACUCUGCUCGAUGUGGGACUCUGCACAAUUAUCUUAGAUUGCAAAGGUGUAUUAUGAGAGCCCUAGGCUUCAGGCUUAGCUCUCUACAAGCAAAUGUCUAACUCUGUUUGGAGUCUCUCAAUUUCAAAACUCUGUCCAGACCCUUGGGCCACCAUACACAAACCUGCUUGUAGAGGAAAGCAGACAAAAGCUUCAAGGGGAAGGGAGUGUUGGACUUGAUGAAGGAAAACAGCAGCUAGUGUAAGUCGGUAUAUUAAUUUCACAUAGUUUAAUACAAGAAGUUAAUGUUUUGGAGAAAACGGGUAACUUUUGGUCACUGUACAGAGGGUACUGAAAUUAAAGAACUGUAGGCACAAAAGUCAUUGUGACUUACAGAGUAGAAGUAUUCGAUGUUUU
rnacentral:lncRNA from 1 species